rnacentral:lncRNA from 12 species
GCGCCCACGUGACGCGCGCCCCGCCGCUCACACGGGCUGCGGCCGAGUUCAAUUCAGAACUGCGGCGAGUCCGGCUUCCCCGGGAGCCGGGGCCGCCCGGGCGCCGGGGGCCGAGUUCCGAGGGACUUUGCAAAAGAGGCGCUCGCCUCCCUCCCUGCGCGCCUCCUCCGGGAGCACGGGGAUGCUUGCACCUGCGCCGCCGGGGACCGCCUGGCCAGAGCCGCUGCUCCGCCCCCGGGGACGGGGGGACCUGCGCCCAGGAGCGCUUGGAAAUUGGAUCUUGGCAAAAUUAGCAACGAAUCCAUAAAGGAGACUAAAAGCCAUUUGAUCUCCCUCUUCAAUGACAGUCCCACAAAAGUCGAAGAAAUACAUUAUGUCUCCAAUGAAGAGAGCAGUUGUACCCUAAAAUUAGGACAUGAUUAAGUUCUGUAGUUUUAACCAGAACAAAAAGGAUUGCCCGGAAGAAAAGAAGGUAAGUUAUUUCCUAAGUUGGGUUGGAAAUUCAGAAGUUCUUUUCCAUCACCAGCAUUGUAUUCUUGAAAAAAAAAAUAAGACAAACUCUAAUUUUUUUUCACUUAUGAGCUGUUCCCAUAAAAACUGGCAGAGGGGGGUGGGGAGGAAAUCCACUGUAGAGACACAGCUAUACCCUAUUAUUAGAGGCAUUGGUGGUAUCCUAUAG